GGCGUUGUGGCUCAGUGGCAGAGCACUUGCCUUGUACGUAUGAGGUACUGGGUUUGAUCCUCAGCAUCACAU
rnacentral:tRNA from 1 species